rnacentral:rRNA from 1 species
UGAACGCUAGCGGGAGGCCUAAUACAUGCAAGUCGAACGGUAACAGGUAGCAAUACGCUGACGAGUGGCGCACGGGUGAGUAACACGUACACAAUCUGCCUUAUACUGGGGCAUAUCCUCGCGAAAGUGAGAGCAAUUCCCCAUAAUAUAUUUGAAUGGCAUCAUUUGAAUAUUAAAGCUCAGGCGGUAUAAGAUGAGUGUGCGUCUGAUUAGGUAGUUGGUGAGGUAAUGGCUCACCAAGCCUGCGAUCAGUAGCUGGUCUGAGAGGAUGAUCAGUCACACGGACACUGAGACACGGGUCCGACUCCUACGGGAGGCAGCAGUAGGGAAUAUUGGACAAUGGGCGCAAGCCUGAUCCAGCCAUCCCGCGUGAAGGAUGAAGGCCCUCUGGGUCGUAAACUUCUUUUAUCUGGGAAUAAAAACUCGUAUUUAUAUGAGCUUGAAGGUACCAGAGGAAUAAGCACCGGCUAACUCCGUG